rnacentral:tRNA from 1 species
GGAUUGUGGCUCAGUGGUAGAGUGCUUGCCUAGCAUGUGCGAGGCCCUGGGUUCGAUCCUCGGCACCA